rnacentral:rRNA from 1 species
CCGGGAAGAGCUCAAAUUUGAAAUCUGGCGUGCUCAGUGCGUCCGAGUUGUAAUCUAUAGAGUCGUUUUCCGUGCCGGACUGUGUCCAAGUCCCUUGGAACAGGGUAUCAAAGAGGGUGAUAAUCCCGUACUUGACACAAUGACCGGUGCUCUGUGAUACGUCUUCUACGAGUCGAGUUGUUUGGGAAUGCAGCUCAAAAUGGGUGGUGAGUUCCAUCUAAAGCUAAAUAUUGGCGAGAGACCGAUAGCGAACAAGUACCGUGAGGGAAAGAUGAAAAGCACUUUGGAAAGAGAGUUAAACAGUACGUGAAAUUGUUAAAAGGGAAACGAUUGAAGUCAGUCGUGACUGAGAGGCUCAGCCGGUUCUGCCGGUGUAUUCCCCUCAGUCGGGUCAACAUCAGUUUUGUUCGGUGGAUAAGGGCAGUUGGAAGGUGGCACCCUCGGGUGUGUUAUAGCCAGCUGUCGCAUACAUCGGAUGAGACUGAGGAAUGCAGCUCGCCUUUAUGGCCGGGGUUCGCCCACGUUCGAGCUUAGGAUGUUGACAUAAUGGCUUUAAACGACCCGUCUU